GACGAAGGAUGCAAGCGUUAUCCGGAUUCAUUGGGUUUAAAGGGAGCGUAGGUGGCCUUAUAAGUCAGUGGUGAAAUCGCGCAGCUUAACUGUGGAAUUGCCAUUGAUACUGUAGGGCUUGAGUACAGAUGCCGUUGGCGGAAUAUGACAUGUAGUGGUGAAAUACAUAGAGAUGUCAUAGAACACCGAUUGCGAAGGCAGCUGACGAAACUGUAACUGACACUGAGGCUCGAAAGUGCGGGGAUCAAACAGG
rnacentral:rRNA from 1 species